GCCUGUGAGCACUGUUCAUGCCAGGCAAGAGCCGUCCAUCUGUGAGCCGAGCAGACGCCACUGUCCGUGAGAUAAGUGUCUGGUUUGGUGAGGUCAGGUAGAGACAGCCCGUCAGCUGGGGCUGGGCUUGUAUGAAAAGGUUCUUGACUAGCUGUAGUUACUAGAGAGACAAGGUCCCCAUUUUCAGGGGCUACUCAGUUCUCUGGCCAGGAUCGGUGUGUCCUCUGCAGGAGAAGGUUGGAUCCAGGGGGAUGACUCCAGGUGGCGAGUUGUUUGCCUUCUUCCUGUAUUUCUGUCUCUUCUCUAGUGUGUUGGCCAACUCUCUCUCAACCUCCGUAUCUCAAUCAAUCUCUCCUUGCCUCUCCAUGUGCCGUCUCCCUUCAUAGGACACGGGCAGGUGUGGUAGGUGUGCAUCCCUACAGGUUCAGUGUUAGGAGCCAUGGAGAAGUAGGAGGGGACGAAAAUCAUGUGGGUAGCAGGUGCGAGAGGGGAGUGGAGACUGUCGGUGUUAACUCGGUCUCUGUUCAUAGAGUGGGGCUGAUGUAGAUGGGAUGGGAGAGGGAGGCAGGAUGAGGGCAAGAUUUCACACACCGAUAGAGCUGUGUGUAGUGAUGGCUCAUGCUUGGCUUUUGCAGCUGCGCUUGCAGAGGAAUUGUCCAGGAGCCCCAGCCGGAGGAGAAACUGGCAGAUGUGGACAUGAGCAGACUGGACAUCCUUGUCAGCAGACAUGAACAGUCCUCCGCUUUCUGCCUUCCACAUAACUGGCUCUGCGCUGGCAGAGGAAUUGGCCAGGAGUCCUAGCCGGAGGAGAAACUGGCAGAGGUGGACCUGAGCAGCUUAACUGAGUGUCACCGUGUGUGCCACAGUUGCUCUGAGGGAAAUGCUUUGUGCAUGACUCGGAGUGGCCACCCAUUAUCACUGUCCCUUCAUAAAGGAAAAGGUUUGUGCAUUACUGGAUUGGCCACCUGUGACGAACUGGGACUGUUCUUACUGUGGUCUGUGAAUGGUGACAGGGGAGUGUGGCUAGGAUAGUCUACAUCGGGGGAUGGGAGACUGACCGAGGGAGAAUACCUGAGUGUGUAACAUGAGAACCCAGGAAGGGGUUAGAGGCCAGGUGACACCUUGGCCCGGAAAACUGAACAAAGGCUGGGGAGAGAGUUCAGAGCUGGCUGGUGACAUGGCUGGGAGGCAGAUGGGGCUCUGACCUCCCAAGGGGGCUAGGGUGCCCUGGGACCCCAAGAUGGACCUAACUGAGGGGGUCCUGUUGUCUGUGCCUGCAAGACCUGUCUUGGACUGUAUUCCUGUCGUCU